GUCUUGUAAAUGGAAUGAUGGGAAUUUAAACCUCUUCCAGAGUAUCAAUUGGAGGGCAAGUCUGGUGCCAGCAGCCGCGGUAAUUCCAGCUCCAAUAGCGUAUAUUAAAAUUGUUGCAGUUAAAAAGCUCGUAGUUGAAUUUCUGCUGCAUCGUCGCAUCUCUUGCUGAGUGCUUCGUUUCGGCUUAUUUCGGAUUGAUUUUUUCUUUCCGGAUGAUUACUUUGAGAAAAUUAGAGUGCUCAAAGCAGGCUUUUGCCUUGAAUAGUUUAGCAUGGAAUAAUAAAGUAGGACUUUGGUUCUAUUUUGUUGGUUUUAGGUACCAAAGUAAUGGUUAAUAGGAACAGUUGGGGGCAUUCGUAUUUAACUGUCAGAGGUGAAAUUCUUAGAUUUGUUAAAGACGAACUACUGCGAAAGCAUUUGCCAAGGAUGUUUUCAUUAAUCAAGAACGAAAGUUAGGGGAUCGAAGACGAUCAGAUACCGUCGUAGUCCUAACCAUAAACUAA
rnacentral:rRNA from 1 species